GAUGAACGCUGGCGGCGUGCUUAACACAUGCAAGUCGAACGAUGAAGCCCAGCUUGCUGGGUGGAUUAGUGGCGAACGGGUGAGUAACACGUGAGUAACCUGCCCUUAACUCUGGGAUAAGCCUGGGAAACUGGGUCUAAUACCGGAUAGGAGCGUCCACCGCAUGGUGGGUGUUGGAAAGAUUUAUCGGUUUUGGAUGGACUCGCGGCCUAUCAGCUUGUUGGUGAGGUAAUGGCUCACCAAGGCGACGACGGGUAGCCGGCCUGAGAGGGUGACCGGCCACACUGGGACUGAGACACGGCCCAGACUCCUACGGGAGGCAGCAGUGGGGAAUACUGCACAAUGGGCGCAAGCCUGAUGCAGCGACGCCGCGUGAGGGAUGACGGCCUUCGGGUUGUAAACCUCUUUCAGUAGGGAAGAAGCGAAAGUGACGGUAACUGCAGAAGAAGCACCGGCUAACUACGUG
rnacentral:rRNA from 1 species